AGGAUAGAGGUGCGGUAGACAAGAUUAGUCAUGGUGCCAAAGGCCUUGCAAGGGCCGUUGCCAUGGUGAAAGGGGAUACCGCCGAAAGAGAGAGCCUGCGACCCUCUCUUGGUUGAGCAGAGAACAUCUGUUUGACUGUCGCUGAUGCGGAGAGCUAUGU
rnacentral:ncRNA from 1 species